AUUGAACGCUGGCGGCAGGCUUAACACAUGCAAGUCGAGCGGGGAAAGGUAGCUUGCUACCUGACCUAGCGGCGGACGGGUGAGUAAUGCUUAGGAAUCUGCCUAUUAGUGGGGGACAACAUCUCGACAGGGAUGCUAAUACCGCAUACGUCCUACGGGAGAAAGCAGGGGACCUUCGGGCCUUGCGCUUAUAGAUGAGCCUAAGUCGGAUUAGCUCAGUGGUGGGGUAAAGGCCUACCAAGGCGACGAUCUGUAGCGGGUCUGAGAGGAUGAUCCGCCACACUGGGACUGAGACACGGCCCAGACUCCUACGGGAGGCAGCAGUGGGGAAUAUUGGACAAUGGGGGGAACCCUGAUCCAGCCAUGCCGCGUGUGUGAAGAAGGCCUUUUGGUUGUAAAGCACUUUAAGCGAGGAGGAGGCUACCGAGAUUAAUACUCUUGGAUAGUGGACGUUACUCGCAGAAUAAGCACCGGCUAACUCUGUG
rnacentral:rRNA from 1 species